rnacentral:rRNA from 1 species
AGAUUGAACGCUGGCGGCAGGCCUAACACAUGCAAGUCGAGCGGCAGCACGGGUACUUGUACCUGGUGGCGAGCGGCGGACGGGUGAGUAGUGCCUAGGAAUCUGCCUGAUAGUGGGGGGAUAACGCUCGGAAACGGACGCUAAUACCGCAUACGUCCUACGGGAGAAAGCAGGGGACCUUCGGGCCUUGCGCUAUCAGAUGAGCCUAGGUCGGAUUAGCUAGUUGGUGGGGUAAUGGCUCACCAAGGCGACGAUCCGUAACUGGUCUGAGAGGAUGAUCAGUCACACUGGAACUGAGACACGGUCCAGACUCCUACGGGAGCAGCAGUGGGGAAUAUUGGACAAUGGGCGAAAGCCUGAUCCAGCCAUGCCGCGUGUGUGAAGAAGGUCUUCGGAUUGUAAAGCACUUUAAGUUGGAGGAAGGCAGUUACCUAAUACGUAUCUGUUUUGACGUUACCGACAGAAUAAGCACCGGCU